UCGUGGUGUGACUGCGUACCUUUUGUAUAAUGGGUCAGCGACUUAUAUUCUGUAGCAAGGUUAACCGUAUAGGGGAGCCGAAGGGAAACCGAGUCUUAACUGGGCGUUAAGUUGCAGGGUAUAGACCCGAAACCCGGUGAUCUAGCCAUGGGCAGGUUGAAGGUUGGGUAACACUAACUGGAGGACCGAACCGACUAAUGUUGAAAAAUUAGCGGAUGACUUGUGGCUGGGGGUGAAAGGCCAAUCAAACCGGGAGAUAGCUGGUUCUCCCCGAAAGCUAUUUAGGUAGCGCCUCGUGAACUCAUCUUCGGGGGUAGAGCACUGUUUCGGCUAGGGGGCCAUCCCGGCUUACCAACCCGAUGCAAACUACGAAUACCGAAGAAUGUUAUCACGGGAGACACACGGCGGGUGCUAACGUCCGUCGUGAAGAGGGAAACAACCCAGACCGCCAGCUAAGGUCCCAAAGUCAUGGUUAAGUGGGAAACGAUGUGGGAAGGCACAGACAGCCAGGAUGUUGGCUUAGAAGCAGCCAUCAUUUAAAGAAAGCGUAAUAGCUCACUGGUCGAGUCGGCCUGCGCGGAAGAUGUAACGGGGCUAAACCAUG
rnacentral:rRNA from 1 species